UAGGGAAUCUUCCGCAAUGGACGAAAGUCUGACGGAGCAACGCCGCGUGAGUGAAGAAGGAUUUCGGUUCGUAAAACUCUGUUGUUAGGGAAGAAAAAAUGUAUAGUAACUAUAUACAAAAGAGACGGUACCUAACCAGAAAGCCACGGCUAACUACGUGCCAGCAGCCGCGGUAAUACGUAGGUGGCAAGCGUUGUCCGGAAUUAUUGGGCGUAAAGCGCGCGCAGGUGGUUUAGAAAGUCUGAUGUGAAAGCCCACGGCUCAACCGUGGAAGUGCAUUGGAAACUGGGAAGCUUGAGUACAGAAGAGGAAAGUGGAACUCCAUGUGUAGCGGUGGAAUGCGUAGAUAUAUGGAAGAACACCAGUGGCGAAAGCGACUUUCUGGUCUGUCACUGACGCUGAGGCCCGAAAGCGUGGGUAGCAAACAGG
rnacentral:rRNA from 1 species